rnacentral:rRNA from 1 species
CCUUACCAGGCCUUGACAUCCUUGGAACUUUCUAGAGAUAGAUUGGUGCCUUCGGGAGCCGAGUGACAGGUGCUGCAUGGCUGUCGUCAGCUCGUGUCGUGAGAUGUUCGGUUAAGUCCGGCAACGAGCGCAACCCACAUCGUUAGUUGCCAGCAGUUCGGCUGGGCACUCUAGGGAAACUGCCCGUGAUAAGCGGGAGGAAGGUGUGGAUGACGUCAAGUCCUCAUGGCCCUUUCGGGUUGGGCUACACACGUGCUACAAUGGCAUGAACAAUGGGUUAAUCCCCAAAAGAUGUCUCAGUUCGGAUUGGGGUCUGCAACUCGACCCCAUGAAGUCGGAAUCGCUUAAAGGGCGUAACAGCAUGACGCGGUGAAUACGUUCCC